UGACAAUCUCAACAGGGGUAAAGAUCAAGGAUUUUCCCUACUGGCAAUUUGCAAGUGCAGCUCUAAGCUUUUCCUUUCAGAAGGGAUGAGGGAAACAGCACAGUAAAAUUCGUUCCAAAAGAAAGCAGAGCUUAUAGUGAAAACAGGGCUCAUCUGAGUUUCUGAGACUUAGUGAACUAUUUUUCUAGGUAGUAUUUCUGAAAUAGUCUUCCUCUCCCCUCCCCCACAUAUAUGCAUCUUUUUCUGUCUUUCUGUCUUUUUUGGUUCUGUUUGUAUUGUGGCUUCAUAUAGAGAGCCAAGUCUUGUUUAUUUCCUGCUAUGCAGUUAUCCCAAGAUCGUGAGCCUGUUUUGGAGUUUUGCUUUUUUUGUUGUUGUUGUUAAUUUGGAAAGCAUCCUGAUCUGUAGUAUUUCAAAUUUAGAAUUCCAUUUAGCUGCAAAAUGAAAACAGAGAGAUAAAGUGCAGUCUUGUAUGUUUCAAGUUCGGCUGAAUCUCAGCCACAUUCCAUAGAUUAUUUUGAUUUAGUUUUAACAAAAUACCACAUUAAAUCACUCUAAUGAGCUGUUUCUGUUCCUCU
rnacentral:lncRNA from 1 species